CCAAUCCGCUUUUUUGCUUACAUAACAACGAAUUACGAAACAGACAUCAGAUAGUGUCACAUAGUAUAAUUUAUAAUCACUAGAUUCUCUAGAUCUAAGUAGAAUCUAAAGCUACAUCUAGAUCUAGCUUUGAAACAAAAGGAAAUAUAUCUGGUAGUUUUGGAAUCUUGAUCAACCUAGCAUAUUUCAUUAUUUCUAAG